GGCCAGACUCCUACGGGAGGCAGCAGUGGGGGAUAUUGCACAAUGGGGGAAACCCUGAUGCAGCGACGCCGCGUGGGCGAAGAAGUAUUUCGGUAUGUAAAGCCCUAUCAGCAGGGAAGAAGAAAUGACGGUACCUGAGUAAGAAGCACCGGCUAAAUACGUGCCAGCAGCCGCGGUAAUACGUAUGGUGCAAGCGUUAUCCGGAUUUACUGGGUGUAAAGGGAGCGUAGACGGCAGUGCAAGUCUGGAGUGAAAGGCGGGGGCUCAACCCGCGGACUGCUCUGGAAACUGUACGGCUGGAGUGCAGGAGAGGUAAGUGGAAUUCCUAGUGUAGCGGUGAAAUGCGUAGAUAUUAGGAGGAACACCAGUGGCGAAGGCGGCUUACUGGACUGUAACUGACGUUGAGGCUCGAAAGCGUGGGGAGCAAACAGGAUUAGAUACCCCGGUA
rnacentral:rRNA from 1 species